rnacentral:rRNA from 1 species
GGACAGAAAGACCCUAUGAAGCUUUACUGUAGUUUGGAAUUGGGUUCGGGCUCUUCUUGCGCAGCCUAGGUGAGAGGCUAUGAGGAUAAACUUUUGGGUUUAUUGGAGCCAACAGUGAGAGACCACUCUAGAGGAGCUAGAAUUCUAAUGGCGUUCCUUGAAGCAGGACGCUUGACAGUUUCAGAUGGGCAGUUUGACUGGGGCGGUCACCUCCUAAAAGGUAACGGAGGUGUGCAAAGGUUCCCUCAGGCUGGACGGAAAUCAGCCGUAGAGUGUAAAGGCAGAAGGGAGCUUGACUGCAAGACCUACAAGUCGAGCAGGGGCGAAAGCCGGCCUUAGUGAUCCGACGGUUCCGAGUGGAAGGGCCGUCGCUAAACGGAUAAAAGUUACUCUAGGGAUAACAGGCUGA